AGUUUGACCAAGAGUUGACUUUUUGACUCAAACAUUUUUUCAGCAUUUGGCCAAUUGGGACAGCUCAUAAAUGUCAUUUAGAAGGUGUUUGCAAGGUCAAAUUAUGCAGCCCAUGUGAAUAUUGCUUGGUUGCUUGAAUUGUAAGAAAGUACCAUUGCACCAUACUUGUCCAUGCCUUGCCUUGUACCUCAAAAGGACAGCAUUAUGCAGCAACUUUUCUGUCAUGGUGAGCCUAUUUUGCAGCCUAAACCAACAACAGUAAAGGGCCAUGCUUAGUUGCUAAAAGAUGGGCAAAAGUACAUGUGUUUACCAUGCUUCCACAACCAUACUUGUACCAUGGCCAUGAUAGCUUUAAGGAUUUUCCUUUUCUGCAGUAGCAACACAGCAGGGACCAUUCCUUUCACUCAUCAACAGAUUUCGAACCUUGGCCAUUCUUCACUAAUGCAUUGGUACACAAGCCAUAUUGGAUUUCCAUUUUGCUGUCAAAAACAUCUCUGUCAUAAAAGACCAAGGGAGCCUUACAAUUUAUUUUGGCCAAGGCAAAUUGAUUGUACAACUCUCACUCAAAAGAUCCACUUCACCUUGGCCAUUGGGAAAGGAACUGUCAAGCAUCCAACAGUAGGGGC
rnacentral:lncRNA from 1 species